CGAUUUCUGGGAAGGACCCCAGUGGAAUGUCCUCGGCUUCUUCGUGCAGUACAUGUGGGAGUUCGGCGUCUUCUUCUCCUUGGUUGCUUGUGGAUUCGCUGUGGCUACAUACAACGAUGGUGCAACAGACUUCAGGGAAACUCCUUCUUUCAAGGAGUCCCUAACACAGGAGUUCCCCGAAGAGGCAGAAUCAUCUGGCUCUGAUGUGUUUGAAGGUAAUCCAACUGAGGUAGCACCAGCGCUUGAGUAGGAUUCUCGAGGAGACAUCGCACAAAGAAACGAAGGCUUUCUCUUUGAGCUAUAGGGCUCUGCAGAUAGCCAGUAAAACUUGUACAAGGUUCAGUUGAAACUUGAAAGCAUAGUGGUAAGGAAAUUAGCUGGUCAUCACCAUGUACUGAAUUUUCUGUUGGAUAAUUCGACUUUGAAAUCAAAAUAUGUAGGUGGCUUAUUAGUGGUGAUGAAA